ACUCAGGUGGCUUAGUAGGUUAGAGCGUGACUUUACGCGAUUUCGCGAUUGUUGAGGGCGUAGGUUCAAUCCCUACCCUGGGUU
rfam:Phlebiopsis gigantea 11061_1 CR5-6 unplaced genomic scaffold PHLGIscaffold_111, whole genome shotgun sequence.